CAGCGCCAUCUUGUAACAGCGAAUGUGAGGGCGGCUCCCCACACUUUAUCAUUUGCAGUUUGAAGAUUGUACACCUCUGACAAGAUCUGCUAGUCCACUGCUGUACUGACCAGAAAGUCAGUAACUAAAGGACUUUGUGUAAAGCUGAACUUCGGGAUGGUGCUAGAGAGCUGAAAACAGUCUUCUUGUCUCGCAGAAGGCUGAAGAACGUUCACCUAUGCGGAGCCUGUCAGGAGAAUAUCUGCAUGCCCUGCGGAGUUUCAAGAGAGAUGGGACUAAGGGUGAAUAAGAAGACACUGAGAGGCGUGUGACACUUGAAAGGUCUGACAGUCUGCGGCUGAUUGCUGAUAGUGUUAGAAUAGACUUAUUAUCAGCUUCUAUGCACCUUAUCAGAA